rnacentral:rRNA from 1 species
AAUAGAUACCCAGGUAGUCCACCCCGUAAACGUUGGGAACUAGUUGUGGGGUCCUUUCCACGGAUUCCGUGACGCAGCUAACGCAUUAAGUUCCCCGCCUGGGGAGUACGGCCGCAAGGCUAAAACUCAAAGGAAUUGACGGGGACCCGCACAAGCGGCGGAGCAUGCGGAUUAAUUCGAUGCAACGCGAAGAACCUUACCAAGGCUUGACAUACACCAGAACACCCUAGAAAUAGGGGACUCUUUGGACACUGGUGAACAGGUGGUGCAUGGUUGUCGUCAGCUCGUGUCGUGAGAUGUUGGGUUAAGUCCCGCAACGAGCGCAACCCUCGUUCUAUGUUGCCAGCACGUAAUGGUGGGAACUCAUGGGAUACUGCCGGGGUCAACUCGGAGGAAGGUGGGGAUGACGUCAAAUCAUCAUGCCCCUUAUGUCUUGGGCUUCACGCAUGCUACAAUGGCCGGUACAAAGAGCUGCAAUACCGUGAGGUGGAGCGAAUCCCAAAAAGCCGGUCCCAGUUCGGAUUGAGGUCUGCAACUCGA